UACGUAGGGCGCAAGCGUUGUCCGGAAUUAUUGGGCGUAAAGAGCUCGUAGGCGGUUUGUCGCGUCUGCUGUGAAAACUCGAGGCUCAACCUCGGGCUUGCAGUGGGUACGGGCAGACUAGAGUGCGGUAGGGGUGACUGGAAUUCCUGGUGUAGCGGUGGAAUGCGCAGAUAUCAGGAAGAACACCGAUGGCGAAGGCAGGUCACUGGGCCGCAACUGACGCUGAGGAGCGAAAGCAUGGGGAGCGAACAGG
rnacentral:rRNA from 1 species